rnacentral:rRNA from 1 species
AUUGAACGCUGGCGGCAGGCCUAACACAUGCCAGUCGAACGGCAACAGGAAGAAGCUUGCUUCUUUGCUGACGAGUGGCGGACGGGUGAGUAAUGUCUGGGAAACUGCCUGAUGGAGGGGGAUCACUACUGGAAACGGUAUCUAAUACCGCAUAACGUUGCACGACCAAAGAGGGGGACCUUCGGGCCUCUUGCCAUCGGAUGUGCACAGAUGGGAUUAGCUAGUAGGUGGGGUAACGGCUCACCUAGGCGACGAUCCCUAGCUGGUCUGAGAGGAUGACCAGCCACACUGGAACUGAGACACGGUCCAGACUCCUACGGGAGGCAGCAGUGGGGAAUAUUGCACAAUGGGCGCAAGCCUGAUGGAGCCAUGCCGCGUGUAUGAAGAAGGCCUUCGGAUUGUAAAGUACUUUCAGCGGGGAGGAAGAGAGGUAAGUUAAUACCUUUGCUCAUUGACGUUACCCGCAGAAAAAGCACCGGCUAACUCCGUG